AUUAUCCGAGGUGGGAAAGUUCGUUGCACCCACACGCCUUAAUGGUUAAAAGAGAUGUAACAGAAGCGACGGUUACUGGAUAGA
rnacentral:ncRNA from 12 species